rnacentral:rRNA from 1 species
UCAGUCGAUCCUACGGGGAGGCAGCAGUGGGGAAUAUUGCACAAUGGGCGCAAGCCUGAUGCAGCCAUGCCGCGUGUAUGAAGAAGGACCUUCGGGUUGUAAAGUACUUUCAGCAGUGAGGAAGGUGGGUAUGUUAAUAGCAUACUCAUUUGACGUUAGCUGCAGAAGAAAGCACCGGCUAACUCCGUGCCAGCAGCCGCGGUAAUACGGAGGGUGCGAGCGUUAAUCGGAAUUACUGGGCGUAAAGCGCAUGCAGGUGGUUUGUUAAGUCAGAUGUGAAAGACCCGGGGCUCAACCUCGGAAUUGCAUUUGAAACUGGCAAACUAGAGUACUGUAGAGGGGGGUAGGAAUUUCAGGUGUAGCGGUGAAAUGCGUAGAGAUCUGAAGGAAUACCGGUGGCGAAGGCGGCCCCCUGGACAGAUACUGACACUCAGAUGCGAAAGCGUGGGGAGCAAACAGGAUUAGAUACCCUGGUAG